rnacentral:rRNA from 1 species
GCUACACAUGCAGUCGAGCGGAUGAGAAGAGCUUGCUCUUCGAUUCAGCGGCGGACGGGUGAGUAAUGCCUAGGAAUCUGCCUGGUAGUGGGGGACAACGUUUCGAAAGGAACGCUAAUACCGCAUACGUCCUACGGGAGAAAGCAGGGGACCUUCGGGCCUUGCGCUAUCAGAUGAGCCUAGGUCGGAUUAGCUAGUUGGUGAGGUAAUGGCUCACCAAGGCUACGAUCCGUAACUGGUCUGAGAGGAUGAUCAGUCACACUGGAACUGAGACACGGUCCAGACUCCUACGGGAGGCAGCAGUGGGGAAUAUUGGACAAUGGGCGAAAGCCUGAUCCAGCCAUGCCGCGUGUGUGAAGAAGGUCUUCGGAUUGUAAAGCACUUUAAGUUGGGAGGAAGGGCAGUAAGCUAAUACCUUGCUGUUUUGACGUUACCGACAGAAUAAGCACCGGCUAACUCUGUGCCAGCAGCCGCGGUAAUACAGAGGGUGCAAGCGUUAAUCGGAAUUACUGGGCGUAAAGCGCGCGUAGGUGGUUUGUUAAGUUGGAUGUGAAAGCCCCGGGCUCAACCUGGGAACUGCAUCCAAAACUGGCAAGCUAGAGUAUGGUAGAGGGUGGUGGAAUUUCCUGUGUAGCGGUGAAAUGCGUAGAUAUAGGAAGGAACACCAGUGGCGAAGGCGACCACCUGGACUGAUACUGACACUGAGGUGCGAAAGCGUGGGGAGCAAACAGGAUUAGAUACCCUGGUAGUCCACGCCGUAAACGAUGUCGACUAGCCGUUGGGAGCCUUGAGCUCUUAGUGGCGCAGCUAACGCAUUAAGUCGACCGCCUGGGGAGUACGGCCGCAAGGUUAAAACUCAAAUGAAUUGACGGGGCCCGCACAAGCGGUGGAGCAUGUGGUUUAAUUCGAGCACGCGAGACCUUACCAGGCCUUGACAUC